rnacentral:rRNA from 1 species
GACGAACGCUGGCGGCGUGCUUAACGCAUGCAAGUCGAACGAAGAGCGACGGAAGCUUGCUUCUAUCAAUCUUAGUGGCGAACGGGUGAGUAACGCGUAAUCAACCUGCCCUUCAGAGGGGGACAACAGUUGGAAACGACUGCUAAUACCGCAUACGAUCUGACCUCGGCAUCGAGGAUAGAUGAAAGGUGGCCUCUACAUGUAAGCUAUCACUGAAGGAGGGGAUUGCGUCUGAUUAGCUAGUUGGAGGGGUAACGGCCCACCAAGGCGAUGAUCAGUAGCCGGUCUGAGAGGAUGAACGGCCACAUUGGGACUGAGACACGGCCCAGACUCCUACGGGAGGCAGCAGUGGGGAAUCUUCCGCAAUGGACGAAAGUCUGACGGAGCAACGCCGCGUGAGUGAUGACGGCCUUCGGGUUGUAAAGCUCUGUUAAUCGGGACGAAAGGCCUUCUUGC